UCUAAUUUACCUUAAAAUUGUUUUUUUACUUCACACAUGACUUGGAAGUCUAAAGAAGAGAAAUUAAUAACAAUAUUUAAUAUUUCAUUCAGUAUGUCGAUCUUCUGUUAUUGGUCAGACUAAGAGUUCUUCCAUUAUAUCACAAACGCAUUGAUGUCGGGCUUCAUAUUUGGGUCUACAGGUAUAUUAUUGCUUAAUUUACAACUGUAUUCUUCUUCAGGCACAAUUUUCCUGGUACAAAAACCAUAUGUUUAGCUUUCUCAAUUUAAAGUUCCAUCUUCUUACUUAGUUGAACUAGAUGAAUAUCACAUUACUUUAAUGGAUAAUAGUUUGGGUAAAUCUAAUGCUUCUGACUUAGAGAAAUUUUAUUUUUAUUAUGUGAGUAAGAUAAACCUGUGCCUACCUUAUUUUAAAGCAGAAUUCACUGCAUUUAUACCUUUAACAAGAAUCAUGGAUGUUGCUUUCGUCUGGG
rnacentral:lncRNA from 1 species